rnacentral:rRNA from 1 species
CCGUCGCACCUACCGAUUGAAUGUUUCGGUGAAGAUUCCGGACUGUGGCUUGCGUGCUUCACGGCGCUCCUGCCGUGGGAAGUUGUCUAAACCUCAACAUUUAGAGGAAGGUGAAGUCGUAACAAGGUUUCCGUAGGUGAACCUGCGGAAGGAUCAUUA